rnacentral:tRNA from 1 species
GGGGAUUUAGCUCAGUGGUAGAGCACUUGCCUAGCAAGCACAAAGCCCUGGGUUCGGUCCCCAGCUCUG